CUAUACCUGCAGGUACAUGUGCACGGGAACAAGGUGGCGGGCAUACACAAGUACGUACCCCAGGCGAUGUUGCCCACAGAGUACGGAGGGACAGGCGGGUCGGUGGCCGAGAUCGCUGCAUACUGGCUGCAGAAGAUGGACGAUCACCGUGCUUGGUUCCUCGAGGACGAGAAACACUGCGCUGAUGAGGCCAGACGUCCAGGCAAGCCAAAGACGACGUCCAACAUCUUCGGAGAGGUUGACGGAUCCUUUAAGAAACUCGACUUCGACUAAAUACCUUUAUAUCGACUAGAAAUCUCAGGCCGCCUAACUUUAAGUAAAGCUCAACCCACCAACAUUGCUUACAUGCAGUAUAUUUGACAUUUUUGUGUUUAUUCAUCUUGAAAGAGGCCAAGUUAUAACUUGUAUAGUGAGUUACUCCGUCGUUGGUGAGAGCUAGCUGUCCAAAGAGUUCGUCAGAGUGUUAUUCUGGCCAUCUGGAAAGUUAGCUGAUUUGGCGAUCGUGAGUGUUUGCUGAUCUGGCGAGCGUGAGUGUGUGUUGUUCUGGCGAUCAUGAGUGUUUUUCUUCUAUCCUCGAGAUUUUACUUCUUAAUUCUAGUCCCUAUUAUAUAUUUGAAGAGAAUCUUGGUUCUGUAGCCCUCCUCCCUCUCACAAGGCUCAUUCUCUUAGGUAUAUUCAAUUAGAAAAUGGUAAUGUUACCCAGAAUUGCUGUGAUGUCCAAGGUUAUGAGCCACACGGUACAUGGGUGGUUCACGACCCACACUGUACAUGGGUGGUUCACGACCCACACUGUACAUGGGUGGUUCACGACCCACACUGUACAUGGGUGGUUCACGACCCACACUGUACGUGGGUGGUUCACGACCCACACUGUACGUGGGUGGUUCACGACCCACACUGUACGUGGGUGGUUCACGACCCACACUGUACGUGGGUGGUUCACGACCCACACUGUACAUGGGUGGUUCACGACCCACACUGUACGUGGGUGGUUCCUGACCCACACUGUACGUGGGUGGUGUACCAAAGCUGUCAGUCGUAAUUUCCCCCAUUAAUAGAGCAGAGAGAAAGUUGGGAUAUUCUCAAGAAUGUCUGGUGAAGCUCUUUACCAGUGCUUCGUGUAUCUGCUCUGGUGAAGUGUCUAUUGACCCAUUAUUCAGUUCAUAACUGUUAAUUAUUUAUUUAGUUAAUUAUUGCCAGUGACUGAGAUUCUAGCUGAUAGGAUGUACCUUGGUUUAAUUUACUUGUUAAAUAAACUCAUUUAAGUUGUGA